AGUCGAACGAGGUCCAACCUUCGGGUGAAGACCGAGUGGCGAACGGGUGAGUAACACGUGGGGAACCUGCCCUUCUCUCUGGGAUAACUCCGGGAAACCGGAGCUAAUACCGGAUACUCCUUGCGGACCGCAUGGUCUGCUCGGGAAAGCUCCGGCGGAGAAGGAUGGCCCCGCGGCCCAUUAGCUUGUUGGUGGGGUAACGGCCCACCAAGGCGACGAUGGGUAGCCGAGCUGAGAGGCUGAUCGGCCACACUGGGACUGAGACACGGCCCAGACUCCUACGGGAGGCAGCAGUGGGGAAUCUUGCGCAAUGGGCGAAAGCCUGACGCAGCAACGCCGCGUGCGGGAUGAAGGCUCUCGGGUCGUAAACCGCUUUCAGCAGGGAUGAAAAUGACAGUACCUGCAGAAGAAGCCCCGGCUAAAUACGUGCCAGCA
rnacentral:rRNA from 1 species